rnacentral:misc_RNA from 1 species
GAUGAAGAACGUAGCGAAAUGCGAUAAGUAAUGUGAAUUGCAGAAUUCAGUGAAUCAUCGAAUCUUUGAACGCACAUUGCGCCCGCCAGUAUUCUGGCGGGCAUGCCUGUCUGAGCGUCAUUCCAACCCUCAUGCCCCUAGGGCGUGGUGUUGGGGAUCGGCCAAAGCCCGCGAGGGACGGCCGGCCCCUAAAUCUAGUGGCGGACCCGUCGUGGCCUCCUCUGCGAAGUAGUGAUAUUCCGCAUCGGAGAGCGAUGAGCCCCUGCCGUUAAACCCCCAACUUUCCAAGGUUGACCUCAGAUCAGGUAGGAAUACCCGCUGAACUUAAGCAUAUCAAUAAGCGGAGGA